GGUUGUUUAGCUCAGUUUGGUUAGAGCACUUCCUUGACAUGGAAGGGGUCACUAGUUCGAGUCUAGUAACGACCACCA
rnacentral:tRNA from 1 species